rnacentral:rRNA from 1 species
UACGAAGGGGGCUAGCGUUGCUCGGAAUCACUGGGCGUAAAGGGCGCGUAGGCGGCGUUUUUAAGUCGGGGGUGAAAGCCUGUGGCUCAACCACAGAAUGGCCUCGAUACUGGGACGCUUGAGUAUGGUAGAGGUUGGUGGAACUGCGAGUGUAGAGGUGAAAUUCGUAGAUAUUCGCAAGAACACCGGUGGCGAAGGCGGCCAACUGGACCAUUACUGACGCUGAGGUGCGAAAGCGUGGGGAGCAAACAGG